UUCACUAUUCCGUAGAGGCCGUGGCUGCCACAUCAUCAGUUUCAAGGUGUUCACAGUUCCUUGGUGACGGAAUUAAACGGUGCCUUCCUACCGGGAUGGGAAGAAAUGUGGGGCAGCUUGAGGAAGGAGCAAGGAGGGUGGUACUUAAACACGGAAUAACAGGCCAACAGUGUAACCCGUCCAGUUGUACCAGAACAUCUCAAGAGGAAUGGGGACUUGGCUUCCCAUCUCAGUGUCUUGAAUAGCCUGAUAUAGCUGUGAUUCCUAAAAGGGAUGUAACAGGGAAAUGAGGAUGGAGCAGUGACAUGAACUGCUGCCUGGAUUUCUCCACGUCCUCUUGUCGGCAACAAAUGGCAAAUAAAGGAUCCUGAGGAACAUGGAAGCCACCUUGCUUGUAGCAGUGUGCUGUCCCGCAGACUCUGCAUUAAACAAUUGAAGACAAAAAGAGCUCACACCUCAGGCUCUUCCACUGAGGUGGACCUCAAGCACUUUUGGGUCAAGACUCAGCAUCUUAAUCAGAUGGCUGGUAUAUUACCACAAUAAUGUCAACGGGGAACUUAAAUCCUCCCAGAUUACCACUUUGAAUCAUCUCUAAUCCUCACUUAUGUUCAAAAUGGAAUUAUGUUUAAGCAUAUACAUAUGCAGAUGGAUGGACACACAUGCCAACACACCUGUAUGUCAUGACAUCAUCCAACCUUUAUCAGAGAAACUUCUUGGAAUAGAUGUUAAUUAACACAGAGAUACAAUGUGAAGACAUCGAAAGACAUUGGAACACUCAGCCCUAUCUCUCCUCAAGGCCUAGGGAUUUAUAUGGAAGAGGAAAGAGGAGGAAGAAAGAGUGUAAGAACUAGAUGUGGUGGAUGACUCCAAGGAAACAGUAUCUUCCAGACACAGUGGGGCUGAUAUACACAUGAACUCACAGAGACCAGCACAAAUUCAAGCCAGACAAGCCCAGACCUUGAAGGCUUCAGCUUCCAGCCUCCAUCUGCUAAGCUAAGCCUAGAAUAUUUCAGCCUCCAAGACUUACUGUUGAAUAAAUUCAUUAUUUCUAUCUCUUUCUGAACUCUGGCUGGCUGGUUCAACUCAACUGUUCUGGCUCAAAUGCCUCUCCAAGUUGACUGAUUCAAAUUGACUUCUCAUGGUUCUGACUGGAUUGCUCUGCUUGGAAAGACUGUCUUUGAACUCUAUGCACUAAACUGCUUCAAACUACACUGAACUGAGCUCAACUGAACUGAGCUCAACUCACUUCAAUUGAAUUCUCUUUCCCUCACUGUUCUUUAAGUAGUCUCUAUUUUCUGUCUGUUCUCUUGAGAGUUGGACAUAUACUCUCUGAUUCACUCUGUCAAAUCUUUCUCUGUCUGCCCUCAAUUACACAGAAUUGUUUGGGAUUAAAGGUGUGUACUAAAGGU
rnacentral:lncRNA from 1 species